AAAGCAAGCCGCCUUAUCGCUCUCGCAAGAGGGAGGAAAGUCCGGGCAACGUAGGGCAGCGUACUUCCUAACAGGAAGGUCCUUCCGUAUAAUGCAGGGGGAACAGAGAGUGCCACAGAAAACAAACUACCUGAUCCGGCUUGCCGGUUUAGGAAAAGGUGAAAAGGCGAGGUAAAAGCUCACCGCUCGGGUGGCAACAUCCGGGGCAUGGUAAACCUUACGCGUUGAAAGGUCAAAUAGGCUUCGGUUUGGGGCGGCCCGUUCCACGUCUCGAUUCGUUGAGCGUACCGAAGCGGGUAGACUGAUUGAUUCCGGUUGUGAAACCAGGAACAGAUAAAUGAUAAGGACUCCUGCUUUUGCAGGAUGACAGAACCCGGCUUAUAAGCUUGCUAUUUUU
rnacentral:RNase_P_RNA from 2 species